GACGAACGCUGGCGGCGUGCCUAAUACAUGCAAGUCGAGCGAAUCAAUGGGAGCUUGCUCCCUGAGAUUAGCGGCGGACGGGUGAGUAACACGUGGGUAACCUGCCUGUAAGACUGGGAU
rnacentral:rRNA from 1 species